CCUACGGGCGGCAGCAGUGGGGAAUAUUGGACAAUGGGCGAAAGCCUGAUCCAGCCAUGCCGCGUGUGUGAAGAAGGCCUUCGGGUUGUAAAGCACUUUCAGUGGGGAAGAAAGCCUUGGGGCUAAUACCCUCGAGGAAGGACAUCACCCACAGAAGAAGCACCGGCUAACUCCGUGCCAGCAGCCGCGGUAAUACGGAGGGUGCGAGCGUUAAUCGGAAUUACUGGGCGUAAAGCGCGCGUAGGCGGUCUGAUAAGCCGGUUGUGAAAGCCCCGGGCUCAACCUGGGAACGGCAUCCGGAACUGUCAGGCUAGAGUGCAGGAGAGGAAGGUAGAAUUCCCGAUGUAGCGGUGAAAUGCGUAGAGAUCGGGAGGAAUACCAGUGGCGAAGGCGGCCUUCUGGACUGACACUGACGCUGAGGUGCGAAAGCGUGGGUAGCAAACAGGAUUAGAUACCCCGGUAGUC
rnacentral:rRNA from 1 species